GUGGGGAAUAUUGGACAAUGGGCGCAAGCCUGAUCCAGCCAUGCCGCGUGAGUGACGAAGGCCUUAGGGUUGUAAAGCUCUUUUGGCGGGGAAGAUAAUGACGGUACCCGCAGAAUAAGCUCCGGCUAACUUCGUGCCAGCAGCCGCGGUAAUACGAAGGGAGCUAGCGUUGUUCGGAAUCACUGGGCGUAAAGCGCACGUAGGCGGAUGUGUCAGUCAGGGGUGAAAUCCCGGAGCUCAACUUCGGAACUGCCCUUGAUACAGCACGUCUUGAGUCCGAGAGAGGUGGAUGGAAUUCCUAGUGUAGAGGUGAAAUUCGUAGAUAUUAGGAAGAACACCGGUGGCGAAGGCGGUCCACUGGCUCGGUACUGACGCUGAGGUGCGAAAGCGUGGGGAGCAAACAGGAUUAGAAACCCUUGUAGUCC
rnacentral:rRNA from 1 species